rnacentral:rRNA from 3 species
CAAAACGACUCUCGGCAACGGAUAUCUCGGCUCUCGCAUCGAUGAAGAACGUAGCGAAAUGCGAUACUUGGUGUGAAUUGCAGAAUCCAGCGAACCAUCGAGUCUUUGAACGCAAGUUGCGCUCGAAGCCUUCGGGCUAAGGGCACGUCUGCCUGGG